CAGCAGCCGCGGGAAUACGGAGGGAGCUAGCGUUAUUCGGAAUUACUGGGCGUAAAGCGCACGUAGGCGGCUUUGUAAGUUAGAGGUAGAAUCCUGGAGCUCAACUCCAGAACUGCCUUUGACACUGAAAGUCUUGAGUAUGGGAGAGGUGAGUGGAACUGCGAGUGUAGAGGUGAAAUUCGUAGAUAUUCGCAAGAACACCAGUGGCGAAGGCGGCUCACUGGCCCAUAACUGACGCUGAGGCACGAAAGCGUGGGGAGCAAACAGGAUUAGAUACCCCUGUAGUCCCUGUCUCUUAUAA
rnacentral:rRNA from 1 species